rnacentral:rRNA from 1 species
CAGUAGCCACGGUAAUACGGAGGGGGCUAGCGUUGUUCGGAAUUACUGGGCGUAAAGCGCACGUAGGCGGCUUGGUAAGUUAGAGGUGAAAGCCUGGAGCUCAACUCCAGAAUUGCCUUUAAGACUGCCGAGCUAGCAGGUGAGAGAGGUAAGUGGAAUUCCGAGUGUAGAGGUGAAAUUCGUAGAUAUUCGGAAGAACACCAGUGGCGAAGGCGGCUUACUGGCUCAUACUGGACGCUGAGGUGCGAAAGCGUGGGGAGUAAACAGGAUUAGAGACCCCCGUAGUCCCUGUCUCUUAUAC